rnacentral:rRNA from 1 species
UACAGAGGUGGCAAGCGUUGUUCGGAAUUACUGGGCGUAAAGGGCGCGUAGGCGGUUCGAUAAGUCCCGUGUGAAAUCCCUCGGCUCAACUGAGGAAUGGCACGGGAAACUGACGGGCUUGAGUUCGGGAGAGGGAAGCGGAAUUCCAGGUGUAGCGGUGAAAUGCGUAGAUAUCCGGAGGAACACCGGUGGCGAAGGCGGCAUCCUGGACCGGUAUUGACGCUGAGGCGCGAAAGCCAGGGGAGCAAACGGG